GGUUGCAGGAGCCCUGCUUCAGCCAGCUCAGGAGGAAAGUGAUCCAGAGAGAGGCCAUGUAAAGAGGGAAAUGUCCUCGCACUCAAACACAACCACCACGCAGCGCAGUUCCAUAGCCCCGCGGAGAGACAGGACAUUUUUCUGGAGCUGCUGGAGAGAACAGUCAGAGAAGCCUGGGGAGGAAGAGUUGAUGCCUUCUGGAGUUUCUUGUGGCGGGUGGUGGGUGGUGGGGGGAGCCCUUUCCGGGUGUCAACUUUUUCUUUCCUCUCUUCCCCCAGCUCCUGUUUUCAUCCUUACCAAUGAGAAUUCAGCUAAUUGUUUACUCCAGGCUUGUGCCUGUCACCAACUAACCCAGGAGGCCCUCAGAGCCAAGCCCUGCCCUUUGCCUCAUUCUUUGUAACUGGACACCUGCAAGAGUGCUGGGCACACAGUAGGUGCUCCAUAAAUGCUACUCAAAUGGAUAAGUAGGAUAAAUAAAUGCAGAGUUUGGUAGUUCAA
rnacentral:lncRNA from 1 species